CAGCACCUCAAGUGGUCAGGAUGAUUAUUGGGCCUAAAGCAUCCGUAGCCGGCUCAGUAAGUUUUCGGUUAAAUCUGUACGCUUAACGUACAGGCUGCCGGGAAUACUGCAGAGCUAGGGAGUGGGAGAGGUAGACGGUACUCGGUAGGAAGGGGUAAAAUCCUUUGAUCUAUUGAUGACCACCUGUGGCGAAGGCGGUCUACCAGAACACGUCCGACGGUGAGGGAUGAAAGCUGGGGGAGCAAAACGGAUUAGAUACCCGAGUAGUCC
rnacentral:rRNA from 1 species